rnacentral:misc_RNA from 1 species
GAUGAAGAACGUAGCGAAAUGCGAUACGUAAUGUGAAUUGCAGAAUUCAGUGAAUCAUCGAAUCUUUGAACGCAUAUUGCGCUCUUUGGUAUUCCGAAGAGCAUGCUUGUUUGAGUAUCAGUAAACACCUCAACCGCUUCUUGAUUUUUCAAAAGGAGGGUGGACUUGAGCUCUCCCAACAACCUUUACCGGUCGGCGGGCGGCUUGAAAUGCAGGUGCAGCUGGACUUUUAUCUGAGCUAAAAGCAUAUCUAUUUAGUCCUCGUCAAACAGGAUUAUUACUUUUGCUGCAGCUAACAUAAAGGAUAAUUGUCCUCUUUGCUGACUGAUGCAGGAUUUUACGACACUUUAUGUGUUGUUCAACUCGAUCUCAAAUCAAGUAAGACUACCCGCUGAACUUAAGCAUAUCAAUAAGCGGAGGGA